UGAUUGGUGCUUGCAUCAUGAUUUACAUUUGAGUGAGUGGCGAACUGGUGAGUAACACGUGGGAAACCUGCCCAGAAGCGGGGGAUAACACCUGGAAACAGAUGCUAAUACCGCAUAACAACUUGGACCGCAUGGUCCGAGUUUGAAAGAUGGCUUCGGCUAUCACUUUUGGAUGGUCCCGCGGCGUAUUAGCUAGAUGGUGGGGUAACGGCUCACCAUGGCAAUGAUACGUAGCCGACCUGAGAGGGUAAUCGGCCACAUUGGGACUGAGACACGGCCCAAACUCCUACGGGAGGCAGCAGUAGGGAAUCUUCCACAAUGGACGAAAGUCUGAUGGAGCAACGCCGCGUGAGUGAAGAAGGGUUUCGGCUCGUAAAACUCUGUUGUUAAAGAAGAACAUAUCUGAGAGUAACUGUUCAGGUAUUGACGGUAUUUAACCAGAAAGCCACGGCUAACUACGUGCCAGCAGCCGCGGUAAUACGUAGGUGGCAAGCGUUGUCCGGAUUUAUUGGGCGUAAAGCGAGCGCAGGCGGUUUUUUAAGUCUGAUGUGAAAGCCUUCGGCUCAACCGAAGAAGUGCAUCGGAAACUGGGAAACUUGAGUGCAGAAGAGGACAGUGGAACUCCAUGUGUAGCGGUGAAAUGCGUAGAUAUAUGGAAGAACACCAGUGGCGAAGGCGGCUGUCUGGUCUGUAACUGACGCUGAGGCUCGAAAGUAUGGGUAGCAAACAGGAUUAGAUACCCUGGUAGUCCAAUCCCGUAAACGAUGAAUGCUAAGUGUUGGAGGGUUUCCGCCCUUCAGUGCUGCAGCUAACGCCAUUAAGCAUUCCGCCUGGGGAGUACGGCCGCAAGGCUGAAACUCAAAAGGAAUUGACGGGGGCCCGCACAAGCGGUGGAGCAUGUGGUUUAAUUCGAAGCUACGCGAAGAACCUUACCAGGUCUUGACAUACUAUGCAAAUCUAAGAGAUUAGACGUUCCCUUCGGGGACAUGGAUACAGGUGGUGCAUGGUUGUCGUCAGCUCGUGUCGUGAGAUGUUGGGUUAAGUCCCGCAACGAGCGCAACCCUUAUUAUCAGUUGCCAGCAUUAAGUUGGGCACUCUGGUGAGACUGCCGGUGACAAACCGGAGGAAGGUGGGGAUGACGUCAAAUCAUCAUGCCCCUUAUGACCUGGGCUACACACGUGCUACAAUGGAUGGUACAACGAGUUGCGAACUCGCGAGAGUAAGCUAAUCUCUUAAAGCCAUUCUCAGUUCGGAUUGUAGGCUGCAACUCGCCUACAUGAAGUCGGAAUCGCUAGUAAUCGCGGAUCAGCAUGCCGCGGUGAAUACGUUCCCGGGCCUUGUACACACCGCCCGUCACACCAUGAGAGUUUGUAACACCCAAAGUCGGUGGGGUAACCUUUU
rnacentral:rRNA from 1 species